AUCCAGAUGACGAGUCCCGAGUAGGACGAAACCCGCGUUAUCCUGGAU
rnacentral:hammerhead_ribozyme from 1 species